rnacentral:rRNA from 1 species
AGUGAACGCUGGCGGUAGGCCUAACACAUGCAAGUCGAACGGCAGCACAGUAAGAGCUUGCUCUUACGGGUGGCGAGUGGCGGACGGGUGAGGAAUACAUCGGAAUCUACUUUUUCGGGGGGGAUAACGUAGGGAAACUUACGCUAAUACCGCAUACGACCUACGGGUGAAAGCAGGGGAUCUUCGGACCUUGCGCGAUUGAAUGAGCCGAUGUGGGAUUAGCUAGUGGGCGGGGUAAAGGCCCACCAAGGCGACGAUCCGUAGCUGGUCUGAGAGGAUGAUCAGCCACACUGGAACUGAGACACGGUCCAGACUCCUACGGGAGGCAGCAGUGGGGAAUAUUGGACAAUGGGCGCAAGCCUGAUCCAGCCAUACCGCGUGGGUGAAGAAGGCCUUCGGGUUGUAAAGCCCUUUUGUUGGGAAAGAAAAGCAGCAGGUUAAUACCCCGCUGUUCUGACGGUACCCAAAGAAUAAGCACCGGCUAACUUCGUG